rnacentral:rRNA from 1 species
AUUGAACGCUGGCGGCAGGCCUAACACAUGCAAGUCGAACGAGUGGCAGACGGGUGAGUAAUGUCUGGGAAAAUGCCCGAGGGGGGGGGAUAACUACUGGAAACGGUAACUAAUACCGCAUACCAUCGGAUGUGCCCAGAGGGGAUUAGCGAGUAGGUGGGGUAACGGCGCACCUAGGCGAGGAUCCCUAGCUGGUCUGAGAGGAUGACUGGCAAGACUGGAACUGUGACACGGUCCAGACCCCUACGGGAGGCAGCAGUGGUGAAUAUUGCACAAUGGGCGCAAGCCUGAUGCAGCCAUGCCGCGUGUAUGAAGAAGGCCUUCGUGUGGUAAAGUACUUUCAGCGAGGAGGCGUUACUCGCAGAAGAAGCACCGGCUAACUCCGUGCCAGCAGCGGCGGUAAUUC